rnacentral:lncRNA from 1 species
GAGGUGGUGUCCUGGUCAGACAUCCCUAACAGAUAGUUUUUUGACUUACCAUGCCUCGACUAUUCAUAGUAGGAUUGCUAUAGUUUGACUGUACAAUUACUUGAUUACCUAGUUAUUUAAAAUCUUACAGUGUAUAUUGGCUACAGUAGGUCCAUCGUAGGAAUAGGAUGUGUAUCUAGAUGGGAUCUAUCAAUCCUGAUAGAUACGAAAAGGUUCUAUGCAGUUCAUAAGACUAAGUCCUAAAAUCCAUGUC